UGAUUGCAUGUAUUCUGGUACCAGCUAAUGAAGUGGUGGGUCUACUGUAGGUGAUAUUACCAACUGUUUGUAUGCAUUACAGAUAUCAGUCAUAUGAAGUUGGUGUCUGAUGUCUUAAGGGUGCAGUCUCAAUUUCAGAGUUAUGAUUAGAGAUAUUGUAUUUUAAUAGAUCUUAAUGUCAUCUAGUACAAUGCUGUCACAGAUUUCGAAAGUCUACUUCUCCUUCAUUUGCAAAAAAAUUGCAACUCAGUUAAUUUUUUUUGGUUCAUAAAUUUAUUUUUUAUAAAUGCACAGACCAUUUUCAGUGUUCAAUGAUACAAUCAUUUAUAAUUCGGAAUUUAA